UUAGGAAUAUUGGGCAAUGGAGGAAACUCUGACCCAGCAACGCCGCGUGAAGGAUGAAGGUUUUCGGAUUGUAAACUUCUGAUCUGAGGGAAAAAGAAAGUGAUGGUACCUCAGGAGAAAGCCACGGCUAACUACGUGCCAGCAGCCGCGGUAAUACGUAGGUGGCGAGCGUUGUCCGGAAUAACUGGGCGUAAAGGGAGUGUAGGUUGCGAUUUAAGUUAGAUGUGAAAGCCCGGGGCUCAACUCCGGAAUUGCAUUUAAAACUGGAUUGCUAGAGUACAGGAGGGGUGAGCGGAAUUCCUAGUGUAGCGGUGGAAUGCGUAGAUAUUAGGAAGAACACCAGAGGCGAAGGCGGCUCACUGGACUGCAACUGACACUGAGGCUCGAAAGCGUGGGGAGCAAACAGG
rnacentral:rRNA from 1 species